AUGCCAGCAAAUCUGGAAAACUCAGCAGUGGCCACAGGACUGGAAAAGGUCAGUUUUCAUUCCAAUCCCAAAGAAAGGCAAUGCCAAGGAAUGCUCAAACACACAAUUGCACUCAUCUCACAUGCUGGUAAAGUAAUGCUCAAAAUUAUCCAAGCCAGGCUUCAGCAAUAUGUGAACCGUGAACUUCCUGAUGCUCGAGCUGGUUUUAGAAAAGGCAGAGGAACCAGAGAUCAAAUUGCCAGCAUCUGCUGGAUCAUCGAAAAAGCAAGAGAGUUCCAGAAAAACAUCUAUUUCUGCUUUAUUGACUAUGCCAAAGCCUUUGACUGUGUGGAUCACAAUAAACUGUGGAAAAUUCUGAAAGAGAUGGGAAUACCAGACCACCUGACCUGCCUCUUGAGAAACCUGUAUGCAGGUCAGGAAGCAACAGUUAGAACUGGACAUGGAACAACAGACUGGUUCCAAUUAGGAAAAGGAGUAAGUCAAGGCUGUAUAUUGUCACCCUGCUUAUUUAACUUCUAUGCAGAGUACAUCACGAGAAACGCUGGACUGGAAGAAACACAAGCUGGAAUCAGGAUUGCCGGGAGAAAUAUCAAUAACCUCAGAUAUGCAGAUGACACCACCCUUAUGGCAGAAAGUGAAGAGGAUCUAAAAAGCCUCUUGAUGAAAGUGAAAGAGGACAGUGAAAAAGUUGGCUUAAAGCUCGCCAUUCAGAAAACGAAGAUCAUGGCAUCCAGUCCCAUCACUUCAUGGGGAACAGAUGGGGAAACAGUGGAAACAGUGUCAGACAUUAUGUUUUUUGGCUCCAAAAUCACUGCAGAUGGUGACUGCAGCCAUGAAAUUAAAAGACACUUACUCCUUGGAAGAAAAGUUAUGACCAACCUAGAUAGUAUAUUGAAAAGCAGAGACAUUACUUUGCCGACUAAGGUCCAUCUAGUCAAGGCUAUGGUUUUUCCAGUGGUCAUGUAUGGAUGUGAGAGUUGGACUGUGAAGAAGGCUGAGCGCCGAAGAAUUGAUGCUUUUGAACUGUGGUGUUGGAGAAGACUCUUGAAAGUCCCUUGGACUGCAAGGAGAUCCAACCAGUCCAUUCUGAAGGAGAUCAGCCCUGGGAUUUCUUUGGAAGGAAUGAUGCUAAAACUGAAACUCCAGUACUUUGGGCAUCUCGUGUGA
rnacentral:lncRNA from 1 species